GUGGGGAAUAUUGGACAAUGGGCGAAAGCCUGAUCCAGCCAUGCCGCGUGUGUGAAGAAGGUCUUCGGAUUGUAAAGCACUUUAAGUUGGGAGGAAGGGCAGUAAGUUAAUACCUUGCUGUUUUGACGUUACCGACAGAAUAAGCACCGGCUAACUUCGUGCCAGCAGCCGCGGUAAUACGAAGGGUGCAAGCGUUAAUCGGAAUUACUGGGCGUAAAGCGCGCGUAGGUGGUUUUGUAAGUUGGAGGUGAAAUCCCCGGGCUCAACCGGGGAACUGCCUCAAAAACUGCAUGACUAGAGUACGGUAGAGGGUAGUGGAAUUUCCUGUGUAGCGGUGAAAUGCGUAGAUAUAGGAAGGAACACCAGUGGCGAAGGCGACUACCUGGACUGAUACUGACACUGAGGUGCGAAAGCGUGGGGAGCAAACAGGAUUAGAAACCCUGGUAGUCC
rnacentral:rRNA from 1 species